rnacentral:misc_RNA from 1 species
UGGUUCUGGCAUCGAUGAAGAACGCAGCGAAAUGCGAUAAGUAAUGUGAAUUGCAGAAUUUUAGUGAAUCAUCGAAUUUUUGAACGCAUAUUGCGCUCUUGGGUAUUCCCAGGAGCACACCUGUUCGAGCGCCGUUUCAGUCUAAGACUUUGUCUUGUUAUGGCGAUGCCCGUGUUUCGCGGGCUUGCCCAAACGAUUAGGCGCGGUCUACCGGCUAGCAACGUAGCAACAUACGCCAGCAAACCGGCAAGACAGCUGUCAAUCAAAACAUAUCUUGUUUGGCCUCGAAUCAGGUGGGGUUACCCGCUGA